GAUGAACGCUGGCGGCGUGCCUAAUACAUGCAAGUCGAGCGAACAGACGAGGAGCUUGCUCCUCUGACGUUAACGGCGGACGGGCGAGUAACAAGUGGAUAACAUAACUAUAAGACUGGGAUAAAUUCGGGAGACCGGAGCUAAUACAGGAUCAUAUAUUGAAACGCAUGGUUUAAUAGUGAAAGACGGUUUUGCUGUCACUUAUACAUGGAUGCGCGCCGGAUUAGCUAGUUGGUAAGGUAACGGCUUACCAAGGCAACGAUGCUUAGGCGACUUGUGAGGGGAACCGGCCACACUGGAACUGAAACACGUCCCAGAUUCCUACGGGAGGCACCAGUAGGGAAUCUGCCGCAAUGGGCGAAAGCCUGACGGAGCAACGCGGCGUGGUGGAGGAAGGUCUUCGGAUCGUAAAACUCUUUUAUUAGGGAAGAACAAAUGUGUAAGUAACUAUGCACGUCUUGACGGUACCAAAACAGAAAGCCACGGCUAACUACGUG
rnacentral:rRNA from 1 species